AGUGAACGCUGGCGGUAGGCCUAACACAUGCAAGUCGAACGGCAGCACAGUAAGAGCUUGCUCUUACGGGUGGCGAGUGGCGGACGGGUGAGGAAUACAUCGGAAUCUACUUUUUCGUGGGGGAUAACGUAGGGAAACUUACGCUAAUACCGCAUACGACCUACGGGUGAAAGCGGGGGAUCUUCGGACCUUGCGCGAUUGAAUGAGCCGAUGUCGGAUUAGCUAGUUGGCGGGGUAAAGGCCCACCAAGGCGACGAUCCGUAGCUGGUCUGAGAGGAUGAUCAGCCACACUGGAAGUGAGACACGGUCCAGACUCCUACGGGAGGCAGCAGUGGGGAAUAUUGGACAAUGGGCGCAAGCCUGAUCCAGCCAUACCGCGUGGGUGAAGAAGGCCUUCGGGUUGUAAAGCCCUUUUGUUGGGAAAGAAAAGCAGCAGGUUAAUACCCCGCUGUUCUGACGGUACCCAAAGAAUAAGCACCGGCUAACUUCGUG
rnacentral:rRNA from 1 species